rnacentral:rRNA from 1 species
AUUGUGUCAGCCGCCGCGCGGUAAUACGUAGUCCCUAAGUGGUUCCCACUUGUAUUGGGCCUAAAACACCUGUAGCUGGUGUGGUAAGUCCUUGGUGAAAUCAAUCCGCUCAACGGAUUGACUUGCUAAAGAUACUGCCAUGCUUGGGGAAGGAAGACGUGAAGGGAAUUUUUAGGGUAGCGGUGAAAUGCGAUGAUCCUAAAAAGACCUCCAGUAGCGAAGGCGCUUCACGAGAACUAUCCCGACAGUGAGAGAUGAAAGCUGGGGGAGCGACCAGGAUUAGAUACCCUGUUAGUCCCAGCUGUAAACGAUGCAGACUAGGUGUUCCCUGUCCCUCGUGGACUGGGAGUGCCGACGCGAAGGCAAUAAGUCUGCUGCCUGGGGAGUAUGCCCGCAAGGGUGAAACUCAAUGGAAUUGGCGGGGGCUCACACAAGGGGGUGGAUGUUGCGGUUUAAUUGGAUGCAACGCCAGAAAAUCUUACCAGGGAAGACAGCAGAGUGAUUGACAGUCUGAAGGGCUUUCAUGACACGCUGAGAGGUCCUGUAUGGCCACCGCCAGCUCGUACCGUGAGGCUUCCUGUUAACUCAGGCAACGGGCGAGACCAACGCUCCUAGUUGCUACCAUGGGUUUGUCUAUGGGCACUCUAGGGGGACUGCCAGAGUAAUCUGGAGGAAGGGGUUGUCAACGGUAGGUCUGUAUGAGCCGAAUUUCCUGGGCAACACGCGACACACAAUGGAUAAUACAAUUGGAUGCUAACCCGAAAGGGGGCGCUAAUCCCGGAAAAUUAUCCUCAGUUCUCGGAAUGGGGGGCUGGUAACCCCGCCCCCCAUGAAGUUGGGAAUCCCCAGUAAUCCGCGCGUCAUUAACCACGCCGGUGAAUAAAUUCCCUGAGCCCUUGCACACACCGCCCGUCAAAUCGUCGACCUGCAGCAUGCAAGCUUGCACUGGCGUCGUUUACACGUCGUGACUGGAAAACCUGCGUACCACUAUCGCGUAUGCGAAUUUUCUCUACGCACAUUGCGGGAUAUUCAACGCCCAUGUGAACUUCAUUACAAUCUGGCCCUGUCGUGACGCCGUCAUGAUGUAGUACGUAGC